AUCUACAAAGUUUCUGUAAAACAUAAAUGUAGAAAAACAUUUAUGUGAAUUUGCAUUUAAAAUUUCGUGCGCAGGUCGCAUUUUGCGGCUUCGGAUAGUAUCGGAAUAUAAAUACUUUUCCUUGCGCGAACUUCGCGCCGCGAAGAAACAAAAACUGAGCGUCAGCGCGCGUGUGUUAGUAGUACUGCCCGGCAACAACGUGUGUCUGAGCGCGGUGUGACACAAGUCUGUACAUGCUGUUAACGGUUUCGUGAGUUUGAUUGUUCGAUCAUUCAACGCUUUAUCAAUUAUAUAGGAUAAGAAGGAAAGAAGGUAAGAAAAAAUAUACUACUUUCAUACACUUAAAAUAAGUCGUGUACAUAAACAUACACAACCUUUUCAAUGUCAUACACAAAGGUUAUGUUGUAUAAUACGUCGUAUGUAUAAAAAUGUUUUUCCGUAGAUGAAUAGUGAGAAAGAAAUGAAUGAGCUGUAUGCGAUCGUGCGAUUUGAUGAUGGGACUUCAAACUCGCAAAAAUUAAUUGAUUUGAUCCCAUCCUCCUGGAUUUACGAAGUUGAAGGAAAAGGAUAUUUUUGCUCGUACCCAGAUUCAACAGACUAUUGUUAUUUAGAUAAUUGGCUUUCUACAUUAGAAAGUGCAGAAACAUGUUGGGAUUCUUAUGCAAUAACUAUUAUUGCAUAUGCGAGUAAAUUAUGAUAUUUAUUAAUAAUUUGACCAAUUCACCUAAUUUAAUCUUAUUAUUUAAUCUAAUUACUUCAAUUUUUCUUAUUUAUUAAUUAGAAGAUUUAAAACAAGGAAAACGAAGAUUGAGGCGCGCUCUAAAGACAGAUAAUAUAAAAAUUAGCGACGAUAACACAUGUUCUAAUAAUAAUGACAAAUCAGUCAUGAUAUUGUCUAAAGAUUUAUUAGAGGAACAUUUAAAUGUAAUACAGCCUUUGUUUUUAAAUAAUGACCCUUCUUCGAUAAGUUUAUCAAAUUCCAACAGUUCGCAGAUUUCUACACUAAAAGGAAAAAGAAAAAAUAUAUAAAAUUAUUUAUUAUAUUUUAAGUUUUUUUCGUAUUGCACUGAUAUACAGUGCUAUUUCUACAUGAAAAUAUUUCUUAUUUAUACACUUUAUCUACAGGCAAUGUAUUACCGUCAACAUCGGUCUCAGAUUAUAUUGCAGAUAAUGUAUUUUCUUCAACACCGAUUACACUGCUUCCUGUUAUAAAUAAAGAACCGACAACACAAAUUUUGAAUGUACAACCGAGUAAACAUUAAAAAUUAUAUUACAUAUAUUAAAGCCAGUUUCAUUUUCUUAUAUUUUAUUAAUACUUUUAUCAAUUAUUUUCAGGUUCAGAAAAUAUAUUAAAUCAUAUUGACCAAAAAUUUCAACAAUUGCAGGAUGAAUUUACAAGUCACAUUUCAUCUGUUAAAAGAAGAAUUUUAUAUGAUUUAAAAAAGAAAAUAACUGAAGUAAAACAUACAAUAAUCAUUAAUUGCCAAUCGGUCACUGCUUCACAAAAGAGUAUUGAAAAUUUAAAAGAAGGUUUACAAAUUGCUCUACCAACAGUUUCUUUAAACCAUUUUUUAGAGUUGGAAACUUUAUUAAAAGAUUCUUCAGAAAAGAAGGAAGUAUUGAUGGCUUUGUUCCGUGUACUUAUUGCGGUUGAAUCAGACGUAAAAGAAAGCAUUGCUAAAAUUAUGAGUGCAUUAAUGACAAAAGCGGUAGAACUACUAUAUUCAGGAACUGGAAGAGUGGUAAAUGGACAAUGUAAAAGAAAUUUUAAUGAGACUAACUCGUACAUGUGUUUAAGAGAUGUUUUAAUAGGAAAAUUCCAAAACGCUAUAGAUGUGAAGAAACUGCCAGGUCGGAUAGGCAUAUGAUUAUCACAAGUUGGAGACCGCGAAGGAGGUAAAAAAGCGCGAGCUCAAAAUACUGAAAAUCACUAGGAACAACCAUCAUAUUGAACGUACAUCUAUUUCUACCACAUCCGCCAAUUUGACGAGUAUUUAAAAAAACGCUUUAUUUUUAUUGUCUGUUUCCUGUAACGGACCAAAGUGGUCUAAAUGAAGUACUUUAAGCGGUUCGUUUGGCGUCGGAAAUAAUUGUAUUUCAUUUUCAAAACGAUGAAUCGAAUUGUUAGCCAUUAUACAGAACCACAGUGACCCAUGUCAUCAUGAUGAGCUCGAAUAACACUAGGUAUCAUAGACUCAGGAUUUUCUGGUCUGCUAGCUGUCGAAACUCAAGUUCUCUUUCGAGUGGAAGUUGAUUUACAAAAGCUACGCAGCGACUUAGCGCAUCUACAUGUGUCAUACGACUUCCCGGACGACUCCCGUCAACAAACAAUAGAAGCUGCGAAAAUAGGUUUACCGUUUUGCGAUCAUUUCUAGAGGUCGGUCGAUAUAUCAAAACUCGCCUCCACAGUGGCCACCGUUCCUGACGUCUCUGGCUCUGCCUCUACGCUACCCGCCGACGGAACCACCGGACGCUGAGUCGGACACGCUGAUUUCGUCUGUCUGCCCUUCAGCACGGGGCAAUCAAAAGUUCUGUGACCCUUCUGCUUACAAUAAAAACACGAGGCUUCG
rnacentral:lncRNA from 1 species